ACAUACUAAAUAACCAGCCUGAUAAACCUCUGCUCCUGUGCUCAGUGCUCUUAAGGACAAUAAUGACAACAGUCAUAAUAGCCACAGUUUAUUAAGCGCUUACUCUUCCAUCGCAGUGUUAAGCGCUUUGCAGGCAACAACCCUCGGAGAAACCUUGGCGGCGCGGCCCGCUGCUUGCUGUCUGAUGCAACAGUUUGCAACGCGGUUCUGGGAGUGGAGGCCUGUGGUGCGGCACUCGGGCCGCUGACGCGCAUGCGCCGGCUGUGUCCUGCCCCGCCCCGCGGCGGGAAUCUUUUCACCAGAUGUGCGGGGCGGGGAUGGAGGCGGGGCCGGAGGCGCGAAGACCUUUUGGCAGAUCGCGCUUGCGAUCUGAGCCGAAUUAGAGUUCUUCGCAGGCAUUGGCUGACUGACCCAGUGAUCCAAAAAAAAUCACCCCAAAGGAGCCUGGAGAGAGAAGUUAAAGAGCUAGCUGGCUUUUGAGUCGACCUCCCUUCCCGAGCCUCCGGAUUUCUGCUGCUGUCCCACCUAUCCUGCCCUGAACAUUUUCUUUGCAGGAGGGAACAUGUCACAUCAAUAUGUUCUGCCUUUCAGAUGUCUGACGAUUCAGAUGAAGACGAUUGUCUUCCAUAUACACAUUCCUCCGGUAUUAUAGAUUGUAACUGACUUCUAUUUUAUUAACUGUUUCUCUAAAUUAACUUUAAAUCGAUUCUCUUUUUAUGUACCCUUGCCUCAAGAGAUAACAUUAGAGAAACCAUAGCCUGAAAAUAAGCUCAGAACUAUUCAAAUAAAAAUGUUUGUUGUUGU
ensembl:lincRNA 2900072N19Rik RIKEN cDNA 2900072N19 gene